rnacentral:ncRNA from 2 species
GAAUGCCGCCUCGUUUGAGGUGCCUGAUCGCUUCCGCGGUCGGGUUAAACGGGAACCAGGUCAGAGAUCGAUGAAGGUCUCCGGAUGCCUGGGCUGCCCCCGCAACGGUAAGCAGGCGUGGACGUAUCAGGGAAGCUUCUCAAGGUUUCCUAAUGCCACUGUGAAUUCUUCAAUUCAUGGGAAGGCGAUACGUCAAAUCCUGCGAGCCCGGAUACCGGCCUCGGAUGCGUACGGACA